rnacentral:rRNA from 1 species
ACGACCGGCGCACGGGUGCGUAACGCGUAUACAAUCUACCUUUUACAGGGGGAUAGCCUUUGGAAACGAAGAAUAAUACCCCAUAGUAAGUGACUGUGGCAUCACAGAGACUUUAAAGAUUCGUCGGUAAAAGAUGAGUAUGCGUUCUAUUAGCUAGAUGGUAAGGUAACGGCUUACCAUGGCAACGAUAGAUAGGGGCCCUGAGAGGGGGAUCCCCCACACUGGUACUGAGACACGGACCAGACUCCUACGGGAGGCAGCA